CCUACGGGGGCUGCAGUGGGGAAUAUUGGACAAUGGGCGAAAGCCUGAUCCAGCCAUGCCGCGUGUGUGAAGAAGGCCUUCGGGUUGUAACGCACUUUCAGUGGGGAAGAAAGCCUUGGGGCUAAUACCCUCGAGGAAGGACAUCACCCACAGAAGAAGCACCGGCUAACUCCGUGCCAGCAGCCGCGGUAAUACGGAGGGUGCGAGCGUUAAUCGGAAUUACUGGGCGUAAAGCGCGCGUAGGCGGUCUGAUAAGCCGGUUGUGAAAGCCCCGGGCUCAACCUGGGAACGGCAUCCGGAACUGUCAGGCUAGAGUGCAGGAGAGGAAGGUAGAAUUCCCGGUGUAGCGGUGAAAUGCGUAGAGAUCGGGAGGAAUACCAGUGGCGAAGGCGGCCUUCUGGACUGACACUGACGCUGAGGUGCGAAAGCGUGGGUAGCAAACAGGAUUAGAUACCCGUGUAGUC
rnacentral:rRNA from 1 species